AAUGGUGAAACAUUCAAAAUACCAGAAAAUGCCCUUUGUUAAUUCAAACAUUAAGAAUUGAAAUUAUUAUUUAAAUGAGGAUAAUAUGGUAAAUUCAUAUUUUUUUAAUAUUAAAAAAAUUAAAAUUAAAAACAAAAUAAGAUAAUAGGUCCUACUUUUAUGGAACAUAACUACCCUGUUAUUUUUUCUUAAUUCUAAAAAAAAAAUUAAAAAAAAAAAAGAAAACCAAUUGGCACAUGCGUGAGCAUGUGUCAAGGGCUAGUAUAUAUAAU
rnacentral:lncRNA from 1 species